AUUGAACGCUAGCGGCAUGCCUUACACAUGCAAGUCGAACGGAGUGGCGAACGGGUGAGUAAUGUAUCGGAACGUGCCCCUUAGCGGGGGAUAACUACGCGAACGCGUAGCUAAUACCGCAUACUCUUGGCGCGGCCUGUGUCGGAUUAGCUAGUUGGUGGGGUAACGGCGCACAAAGGCCACGAUCCGUAGCUGGUUUGAGAGGACGACCAGCCAAACUGGGACGGAGACACGGCCCAGACUCCUACGGGAGGCAGCAGUGGGGAAUUUUGGACAAGGGGGGAAACCCUGAUCCAGCCAUCCCGCGUGUGUGAUGAAGGCCUUCGGGUUGUAAAGCACUUUUGGCAGGAAAGCGGUACCUGCAGAAGAAGCACCGGCUAACUACGUGCCAGCAGCCGCGGUAAUUC
rnacentral:rRNA from 1 species